GACAGAGGGUGCAACCGUUGUUCGGAAUUACUGGGCGUAAAGCGUGUGUAGGCGGCCACGUAAGUCGGAUGUGAAAGCCCCGGGCUCAACCCGGGAAGUGCACUCGAUACUGCGUGGCUUGAGUACUGGAGAGGUUGGUGGAAUUCUCGGUGUAGAGGUGAAAUUCGUAGAUAUCGAGAGGAACACCGGUGGCGAAGGCGGCCAACUGGACAGAUACGGACGCUGAGACACGAAAGCGUGGGGAGCAAACAGG
rnacentral:rRNA from 1 species